rnacentral:rRNA from 1 species
GACGAACGCUGGCGGCGUGCUUAACACAUGCAAGUCGAACGGAAAGGCCCUGCUUUUGUGGGGUGCUCGAGUGGCGAACGGGUGAGUAACACGUGAGUAACCUGCCCUUGACUUUGGGAUAACUUCAGGAAACUGGGGCUAAUACCGGAUAGGAGCUCCUGCUGCAUGGUGGGGGUUGGAAAGUUUCGGCGGUUGGGGAUGGACUCGCGGCUUAUCAGCUAGUUGGUGGGGUAGUGGCUUACCAAGGCUUUGACGGGUAGCCGGCCUGAGAGGGUGACCGGCCACAUUGGGACUGAGAUACGGCCCAGACUCCUACGGGAGGCAGCAGUGGGGAAUAUUGCACAAUGGGCGGAAGCCUGAUGCAGCAACGCCGCGUGCGGGAUGACGGCCUUCGGGUUGUAAACCGCUUUCGCCUGUGACGAAGCGUGAGUGACGGUAAUGGGUAAAGAAGCACCGGCUAACUACGUGCCAGCAGCCGCGGUGAUACGUAGGGUGCGAGCGUUGUCCGGAUUUAUUGGGCGUAAAGGGCUCGUAGGUGGUUGAUCGCGUCGGAAGUGUAAUCUUGGGGCUUAACCCUGAGCGUGCUUUCGAUACGGGUUGACUUGAGGAAGGUAGGGGAGAAUGGAAUUCCUGGUGGAGCGGUGGAAUGCGCAGAUAUCAGGAGGAACACCAGUGGCGAAGGCGGUUCUCUGGGCCUUUCCUGACGCUGAGGAGCGAAAGCGUGGGGAGCGAACAGGCUUAGAUACCCUGGUAGUCCACGCUGUAAACGGUGGGUACUAGGUGUGGGGUCCAUUCCACGGGUUCCGUGCCGUAGCUAACGCUUUAAGUACCCCGCCUGGGGAGUACGGCCGCAAGGCUAAAACUCAAAGGAAUUGACGGGGCCCCGCACAAGCGGCGGAGCAUGCGGAUUAAUUCGAUGCAACGCGUAGAACCUUACCUGGGUUUGACAUGGAUCGGGAGUGCUCAGAGAUGGGUGUGCCUCUUUUGGGGUCGGUUCACAGGUGGUGCAUGGCUGUCGUCAGCUCGUGUCGUGAGAUGUUGGGUUAAGUCCCGCAACGAGCGCAACCCUUGUUCACUGUUGCCAGCACGUUAUGGUGGGGACUCAGUGGAGACCGCCGGGGUCAACUCGGAGGAAGGUGGGGAUGACGUCAAGUCAUCAUGCCCCUUAUGUCCAGGGCUUCACGCAUGCUACAAUGGCUGGUACAGAGAGUGGCGAGCCUGUGAGGGUGAGCGAAUCUCGGAAAGCCGGUCUCAGUUCGGAUUGGGGUCUGCAACUCGACCUCAUGAAGUCGGAGUCGCUAGUAAUCGCAGAUCAGCAACGCUGCGGUGAAUACGUUCCCGGG